rnacentral:rRNA from 1 species
AGCGAACGCUGGCGGCAGGCCUAAUACAUGCAAGUCGAACGGGAUUAAGAGGCUUGCUUCUUAUGAGAGUGGCGCACGGGUGCGUAACACGUAUGCAACCUACCUUUAACUGGGGGAUAGCCUUCCGAAAGGGAGAUUAAUACCGCAUAACAUAAUUGAACGGCAUCGUUUGAUUAUCAAACUUCCAAGGGUUAAAGAUGGGCAUGCGUCCGAUUAGUUAGUUGGUGAGGUAACGGCUCACCAAGGCAUCGAUCGGUAGGGGAUCUGAGAGGAUGACCCCCCACACUGGUACUGAGACACGGACCAGACUCCUACGGGAGGCAGCAGUAAGGAAUAUUGGUCAAUGGACGCAAGUCUGAACCAGCCAUGCCGUGUGCAGGAAGACGGUCCUCUGGAUUGUAAACUGCUUUUGUUAGGGAAGAAACCCUCUGAUGCGUCAGAGGCUGACGGUACCUAAAGAAUAAGGAUCGGCUAACUCCGUGCCAGCCGCCGCGGUAACAC